AUGUAAAAAGUAGAUGGUCUAAGUCUUCUCUACAGUAAUAGUUAUUUAUCUUCUAUAUCCUGAAACUUCUUUGCAUGUAUGGUCAAUUGAAGUUCUAUUUACUUCUUUCAGGUAGUUAGUUGAUCGAUGAGAAUAGUAAUAGUUUAUUAAUUUUGAGAGACAGGCUAGCUCUUGAUGUUUUUGGUGUUCUUAACGAUUUAAACUCUCCUAGUCCAGACCAUAAUAAACAUAUUGAACAUGGUAAGGAUUAGAUGCUAAUUUUUUCUUGAAGACGGAAGCUUUACAAUUAAAUGGACAAGAUGUAUUUGUUUUACAUUUUUUGAGAUUGUUAUAUAUCUUAGUAAGACACUAAUUUUAUCAUUUCCGUAAUAGUUUGAG